rnacentral:rRNA from 1 species
CCUACGGGAGGCAGCAGUCGAGAAUCAUUCACAAUGGGGGAAACCCUGAUGGUGCGACGCCGCGUGGGGAAUGAAGGUCUUCGGAUUGUAAACCCCUGUCAUGUGGGAGCCAAUUAAAAAGAUAGUACCACAAGAGGAAGAGACGGCUAACUCUGUGCCAGCAGCCGCGGUAAUACAGAGGUCUCAAGCGUUGUUCGGAAUCACUGGGCGUAAAGCGUGCGUAGGGUGUUUCGUAAGUCGUGUGUGAAAGGCGCGGGCUCAACCCGCGGACGGCACAUGAUACUGCGAGACUAGAGUAAGGGAGGGGGAACCGGAAUUCUCGGUGUAGCAGUGAAAUGCGUAGAUAUCGAGAGGAACACUCGUGGCGAAGGCGGGUUCCUGGACAUUAACUGACGCUGAGGCACGAAGGCCAGGGGAGCGAAAGGGAUUAGAUACCCCUGUAGUC